rnacentral:rRNA from 1 species
UACGUAGGGGGCAAGCGUUGUCCGGAUUUAUUGGGCGUAAAGCGCGCGUAGGCGGCAAGGUAUGUCGUGCGUGAAAUCUCCCGGCUUAACUGGGAGGGGCCGUGCGAAACUGCCUGGCUUGAGGUCGGAAGGGGAAAGUGGAAUUCCGGGUGUAGUGGUGGAAUACGUAGAUAUCCGGAGGAACACCGGUGGCGAAGGCGGAUCGUCUGGGCCAUUACUGACGCUGAGGAGCGAAAGCGUGGGGAGCCGAACGAGG